rnacentral:rRNA from 1 species
CUACGGGAGGCAGCAGUGAGGAAUAUUGGGCAAUGGGGGGAACCCUGACCCAGCAACGCCGCGUGGAGGAAGAAGGCUUUUGGGUCGUAAACUCCUUUUGACGGGGAAGAGGAAGGACGGUACCCGUCGAAUAAGUCACGGCUAACUACGUGCCAGCAGCCGCGGUAAUACGUAGGUGACAAGCGUUAUCCGGAUUUACUGGGCGUAAAGGGCAUGCAGGCGGCUUGGCAAGUCUGACGUGAAAUUUCCCGGCUUAACUGGGAGGGGUCGUUGGAAACUGUCGAGCUUGAGGCGACGAGAGGGGUGUAGAAUUCCCGGUGUAGUGGUGGAAUGCGUAGAUAUCGGGAGGAAUACCAGUGGCGAAGGCGGCACCCUGGCGUUGGCCUGACGCUCAUGUGCGAAAGCGUGGGGAGCGAACGGGAUUAGAAACCCCGGUAGUCC